rnacentral:rRNA from 1 species
AAUCUUCCACAAUGGACGCAAGUCUGAUGGAGCAACGCCGCGUGAGUGAAGAAGGUCUUCGGAUCGUAAAACUCUGUUGUUAGAGAAGAACACGAGUGAGAGUAACUGUUCAUUCGAUGACGGUAUCUAACCAGCAAGUCACGGCUAACUACGUGCCAGCAGCCGCGGUAAUACGUAGGUGGCAAGCGUUGUCCGGAUUUAUUGGGCGUAAAGGGAACGCAGGCGGUCUUUUAAGUCUGAUGUGAAAGCCUUCGGCUUAACCGGAGUAGUGCAUUGGAAACUGGAAGACUUGAGUGCAGAAGAGGAGAGUGGAACUCCAUGUGUAGCGGUGAAAUGCGUAGAUAUAUGGAAGAACACCAGUGGCGAAAGCGGCUCUCUGGUCUGUAACUGACGCUGAGGUUCGAAAGCGUGGGUAGCAAACAG